GAUGAACGCUGGCGGCGUGCUUAACACAUGCAAGUCGAACGAAGCACUUUAUUUGAUUUCCUUCGGGACUGAUUAUUUUGUGACUGAGUGGCGGACGGGUGAGUAACGCGUGGGUAACCUGCCUUGUACAGGGGGAUAACAGUUGGAAACGGCUGCUAAUACCGCAUAAGCGCACGGCAUCGCAUGAUGCAGUGUGAAAAACUCCGGUGGUAUAAGAUGGACCCGCGUUGGAUUAGCUAGUUGGUGAGGUAACGGCCCACCAAGGCGACGAUCCAUAGCCGACCUGAGAGGGUGACCGGCCACAUUGGGACUGAGACACGGCCCAAACUCCUACGGGAGGCAGCAGUGGGGAAUAUUGCACAAUGGGCGAAAGCCUGAUGCAGCGACGCCGCGUGAGCGAAGAAGUAUUUCGGUAUGUAAAGCUCUAUCAGCAGGGGAGAUAAUGACGGUACCUGACUAAGAAGCACCGG
rnacentral:rRNA from 1 species